UCUUAUGGAUAAUCAAAGACAAUGGUUUCUUGAGAUGGAAUCUACUCUUGGUGAAGAUUCUAUAAA
rnacentral:pre_miRNA from 1 species